rnacentral:pre_miRNA from 1 species
UCUUAUGGAUGAGCAAAAAAAGAAGUUUCUUAAGAUGGAAUCUACUCCUGGUGAAAAUGCUACGAA